rnacentral:misc_RNA from 1 species
ACCCUUGUGGAGGAGGACGCCGAAGGUGGGGCUAAUGACUGGGGUGAAGUCGUAACAAGGUAGCCGUACCGGAAGGUGCGGCUGGAUCACCUCCUAACAGGGAGACAACAAAAUGUUUAAUAUUAUUAUUUUGUCACCUUAGGUCGAUCGGUAUCUCACGUUCUUAAUUCGUUAAGAAUUUCAUUUCCUAAGUUUUUCUAGGUCACACCCAUUAUUUUUCCUGGGCCAUUAGCUCAGGUGGUUAGAGCGCACCCCUGAUAAGGGUGAGGUCCCUGGUUCAAGUCCAGGAUGGCCCAUAUCUCUAUGUUGGGGGUAUAGCUCAGUUGGUAGAGCGCCUGCUUUGCAAGCAGGAUGUCAGCGGUUCGAGUCCGCUUACCUCCACUGAUUACCACCUCUUCCAUAACCGAUAGAAAGGAAAUGUUUUGAGUUGUGAUCAUUAUUCUGAACGAAUCUAGCUUCCUAAUGAAAUCAUUAAGAUGCUGGACUCAUUGAAUUAAUUUCAUUGUUUUCAGAGAACCUUGACAACUGCAUAGAUUAUUUUUAAAGACAAUAAGCAUCUUUAAUGAUGCAGAUUUAUUAUUUGUGCGAAUGCAUUAAUAACAAUUCUAUUAAGCUGAUGCUUCAAUUUUUGAAGUUAUUGGUCAAGCUACAAAGGGCUCACGGAGGAUACCUAGGCACACAGAGGCGA